rnacentral:rRNA from 1 species
UACGAAGGGGGCUAGCGUUGUUCGGAAUUACUGGGCGUAAAGCGCACGUAGGCGGGUUGUUAAGUCAGGGGUGAAAUCCUGGAGCUCAACUCCAGAACUGCCUUUGAUACUGGCAACCUAGAGACUGGAAGAGGUUAGUGGAAUUCCCAGUGUAGAGGUGAAAUUCGUAGAUAUUGGGAAGAACACCAGUGGCGAAGGCGGCUAACUGGUCCAGCACUGACGCUGAGGUGCGAAAGCGUGGGGAUCAAACAGG